GGGCUUUCCGAAUGUAGAGCAGCCAAGAUCAGUUUGUUGGGGGACACAUUUGUCUUUGGUUCAUCCAUUUCUGAAGCAUGACUGGUUGUUCCCUUCUACAGGCUCAGACACGGCCCUGCACAGACAGGGACUGAGUGGUGUUUCAGGAAUCGUGCUGUCGCACCAAUGGAUCCACUGUCCUCUGAAACCGGGCCGCUGCUGCAGAAGUGCUGGGGCUAAGCAAAGCAGCCAUUUCUUGGCCAGGAGUUUGCUUUUGCUCGUGACAGCUCGCCUCUGGGUGAUGGCUGCCUUGAUGCUGUUUCCAUCCCAGCUGCAGUGUAGCAGGUGUGCUUGUGCUCCUGCCAGGCUGUGCCUGGGGCUGUGCUGCUUUUGCAUGGGAGAAGCAGAGAUUGAUGAUGGUUGUUCUUCCCUGGGCAUCGUUACACUGGGCUGCUACAAACUGCUCUGCUUUGAUCUGCUUCAGGUCUUAGGCAGCUAUAUGUCUUUAGGAUAUAUUUAAACAUGGAUCAUCACUCCUGUUCUUUCUCUGUUUUAUUUUUUGCAUACUUCCUAGGAACAGGUGCAUGCUGCCACUUAGACUCAUUAGAGUCUCUUGGUGGAGGUAAUACCCUUCUGUUACUCUCCCUGCAGCACCUCAAAGCAAGCCAGAGUUCAAGCAAAUUCUCUUCCUUGCAUUGCAGUGUGUACGCAGGGGCUGCAAGUCCUGCUUUGCACUCUCCUUCCCCCACUAUUAGUUUUGACAAUUUACUAGUGAUAAGAUGGUAAAUAAUUGAUGAGAUCACUUUUUCUGUGCAUACAGUGGGAACUAGUUAAAAAAAAAUAAAGCCAGUUGUGUUUCUCCUUAUGAGUCUGCAUGCUGGCAAGAUAAAUAAAUAAGUAAUUGCAUAGUUAGUUCUCCUUGCUUCUUUAUUCCUAGGCUCUCGCACUUAUUAAUUUGCUUGCUAAUUUUCUGCUUGAUCACUGUGAUUAUACUCUUUUUGGUUCCUACUUGCCUUUUUAAUGUCGGUUUUUGACCUUAAGCGUGAUUGGCAGAUGAUUAUCCAUCCCCAAAGAGAUGUUCCCAUCGUUGCCCAAAAGGAAAUGCUCUGGACAUGCAGUGCGGGAAGCUCAGCGGGUGGGUGGUUGUGCUGAUCCUCACAUAUCUGGCAAUCUCUACAACAAAUUGAGCGUUCUUGGGAGAUGAUGCUAUUUUUGUUUAGUGUCAGGGAUCUGCCAGUUAAUAUCAUGAUCUGUUUGGUAACACGGAGACUGUUGUCUUUCCUUCUCUCCACAACAGCAACUUCCUUUCUGUCUCAUCUGCUUCCACCUCGCUGUCUCUGUGAUGGAAAUCAACUUCAGUGAGCCUGUGAACGCUAAGUAGAUGAGUAACUACACUAAUGGAGAGAAAAAUACAGGGUGAACAGCCUGUUUCAUCUGCCCUGAGGGUGUCUUGGCGGUGGAGGAGAAGGGCUGGCAGUACCAUCGUCUCUGCACCAGCACUGCUGUGCUAGCUCCUUGUGCCAGGGAAGCAGCCCCUCACACCCCUGCAGCUGCCACUAGUGACACAGUGCUUAGUUUAUGGGGCUGAAACAGGCUGGAACAGAAGUUGGUGGCCCCACAUGCAGUACUGCAUCCAGACCUGGGGUGGCCAGCAUCCCUUGGAUGUGGAGCUGUUGGAGUGGGUCCAGAGAAGGGCCACAAAGAUGAACAGAGGUCUGGAGCACAUCUCCUAUGAAGGAAGGUGGAGGGAAAUGAGCUGGUUCAGCCUGGAGAAGAGAAGGCUGUAAGGAGACCUCACUGCAGGUCUUGAAGGAAGCUUCCCUUCAAGCUACAUUGUUGUACUUGAUGGGAUAGUAUUAACUAGGGGGAGAUCAACUUUUUACACAGGCGGAUAGUGAUAGGACAAGGGGAAGGACUUUAAAAUAAAGUAGGGGAAAUUCAGGUGAGAUGUUACAUGGUAAUUCUUUACCCAGAGGGCGGUGAGGUGCUGGCACAGCUGCCCAGAGAAGCUGUGGUGCCCCAUCCCUGGAGGCGCUCAAGGCCAGGCUGGAUGGGGCCCUGGGCAGCCUGAGCUGGUGAGGGGAAGCCCUGUCCACGGCAUGGGGUGGGGCUGGGUGAGCUUUGAGGUCCAUUCCAACCCAAACCGUUGAGUGAAGGGCCCAGUGACCUCAGACGGACAGAUUGUCAGUGGGCUGUCAGUAUCAGUUUUACAAAUGGUAAUUUUCAUGAAUGUAGUGCAAAACAGUAACCUGUGAAUACUGCAGUGUUAAAUAAAUCUUCCAAGAUUUAGAUGUGCACUUGAAGGGCCUCUCCAGAAUUAUCAGCAUCCUUCUUCAUAUUUUGAUAGAGUUUUAAUGUUUUUUUCUCUUGAGUUCAGAAGAGUUGUGUUACAUUGACCUUGACAGAAGGAAAGCCUGGUCAGACUGUACGGAGAAAGCCCGGAGGAAACUUCACAGCACUGCACAGAUGGCUAAACAGGUUGACAUACAGUUGCAGUCAAUCCCAGUCUUUGGGAAGUGUGUGAAUUUGGUCUUGUAAUAAGCCCACAUCUCCUGUAGAAGAAAAUGAGGCGCUUAGCCAUUAUUGAAUGUGUUAAGGAAAAGGUUGAGAGUAGAUGUAUGCUGUAAUAAUGCUCACUAAGAAUGGAAAAACAAGCUCGUAGUUGUAAAUGCGGGUAACUUACAACAAUUUGUUACAAAAAAAAAUUAGACUGCUUUUUUUCUGUAUAAUGUUGUCUUCCUGCAUCAGUUCUUAUCGUAAAGGUACCCCGCAGCUUCACCUUCUUGUGCCUAAUGCACUUCCCACCAUUGUUGCUCAGCAGCAUCUCCUGUGUGGGAUAACAGAAAAGUUAUUUCAUUCCGCAGUGUUUCAUACAUGAAAUAGUAGAAUUGAGUGAGCAGGCUCAGAACUUGGCUUAGCAAUGGUAUUAAGUUCAUCCUUUUUCCUCCCCACAUAUACCCAAGAUGAGUCGCUGGUUUCAAUUUCAUUAAAUCCCAUUUGUGGAUCCCACCAACACUAAUGCUGAACGUGGGGAUGAACUGGAUGGGUUAUGUUAUUACUGCUUAUAAACUUCCAGUGAUUAUCAUCAAUUAUCCGAAGCACACGAUAAAAUAUUUCUCGUGUGCAUAACAUUUUAAUAACGGGAAGAAGGAAGGAUGAGCUCGAGUUUAGCUGUCGUGUAUUGUUGAAUGCUUUGCUUUAGCUGCUUGCAAUUGCUGUGGCCCUUUGAUUAAUUCUAUAGGAAAAGUCAAGUGCUCUCAUUGGUGGUUUUGUUUUGUUUUGUUUUUCUUUUUUUCCAAAGGACAAGGAGUCGUGUUAGAAGUAUAUAACAUAUGCCUUUGGGAUUCUGUGUUCAUAAGGAUACUGAACAGUCCGAGAUUGGUAUCUCUCUUUAAAGAAUGCAAUUACCUCUUUCAUAUUAAAGAGUCUCUUGUAUUAAGUAAAAAUAAUGGAAACCUUCUAGUACAGUUAAAGUGUUUCCAAACUUCCUUGCCUUGUAAGAAGAUGCAGAAAUCAGUGAAGGGUGAGAUGAAAAAAGAAGGAGUAUCCAGAUAAGUUUUUCUGGCUAAAGAAAUGCAUUGAAGCAAGCUGUAUAGAUGGAAGUUUUCACCACUCAGAUGCAGAAAGGACUAGAGCACAUUUCAUCUUGGUGAAGGAAGUCUAGAGCACUAUGACACUCAUUUCUGGUCAUUUAAAAGUGACCAAGGUCAAGAACGCUUGCAUGGAAGUGAGUGAUAGAUGUUUAGGAUCUGCAGUAUGAGAAGUGUUUUUUUCAUUACAGGGUUCAUGUGGCAAAUUAUCACACUGAUCGUACCUUUGUCUUGCAAAAUGGGGACUGUCAACUUAACUUUUGUUUAAUACUGCUCCAGCUUCAUUUUAUUUAUGCUGUUAAGUUAUCGGGGGGGGGGGGGGGGGGGGGGAAGAGAUUUAUCUUUGAUAUCAAAGCUCUUUCUUUUUGGUGCUGCCAGUCUGCAGAGGUCACCUCCCAUUAAGGACCGCCUCGCAGUAGUUCCCCAUUUAAUGCUGAGCUCUUUCAGAGGUCCUGAAUAGUGGUUAAGCUAAAUAAUCGCUCACUUGGCAGGACAAAUUUCAGGGAGGGGGCAUGUAGAAAGUUAGUGAGAACUGCUAUUUGUAGCAGCCUCUUUUGCAGCACUGAUGUACAACCGGGUGGAGAAUGGGAAGAUAUUUUGUGCAAGUGUUUGCAUGAAAAACACGUCACAUUGUUAAGCUGAAUGUACUCUGCACUGUGAGCCAUUUCACCCGAUUCACACAGAUAGGAGAAAACUGCUAUCACCGGGAGUCUCUGUUUAUACCUUGCAUCCUCAGCAUUUCAUCCAGCAGCUCUGUGCAGCUCAUUCCAGUAACACGCUCAUUUUUGGUCCCCAGUGCAGUUUGUUACCACUCGGUCUCCAGAAUUGAAUGUUGGUAUUUUUAAAGAGCUGAUUAAUCUGAGGUACGACAGUAGAACUACCUCAUUAGUUAAAAAUGUUAAUAUCUCUAAUAUCUGCUGUUUGAUUGUUCUGUUGAAGCAGGAUAGCCAAAGUCAGGGCUCUGUGCCUGUGUUAGAAGCAAAAUGUGUUGAUGCUAGAUGUUGCCCCUCCUUAUUCUUACCUGCGCUGUCAUAGUGGGGGUGAAAAGCAGGGCAGGGGAGAGGGUUGCAUGCAAGGGUGUGGAGUGCGUCUCAUGCUUAGGACUUCUCUGUACUGGUCUGCCUGAAGGAUCUGCCCAGGUGCAUGGCACCAAGGAAGGCACUGGUUGGGGUCAGCACAUGUUAAUGUGGUGUUGCCUUUGCCAGUCUCUGCAGGGGGGACUCCUCAUGCACCCGUGCUUCCCCAGGAACAGCUUAAGAGAGUGGGGAAACAUUGUCUGCCUUCCUAGUGGUAAUGGCCUUUGGAUGUGGGUGUAUAGCACUGCAGUUCUCUGUGCUCUGACUCUGCAGCAAGCCAAGCUUGCUGGCUGUGACUACUGAGAGUGACUUAAUGCAUCUCUGCCUUGCUGGUACUCUCCCAGCUUUGCAGUGACAUGGGGGUGACAUAAACAUGGGGAUGAUGUUUUCUUGCUGACAUCAUUAUUGGAUUAUAAUUACAGACUAUUUCUGCGCAGUUUUGCACUCUUCCAUCUCACAGGAGUUUAGACUAAACCCAAAAUUCAGUACAAUACACAUAAAAUCCUGAUAUUGUCUCCUGCAUUUUAUGUGUUUUGGUUUAACUCCUUUUCACAGAUGCUUAUGAACUUCAAUUUCAUUAGUUGACAUGCUUGUAAAUCAUCUCUCUGGCCUCUGGUCCCUCCCCUUAUAAAACAUUUGGUGUUAGAAAUUCCCAGCGUAUCAUCCAAAUAUUUUGGCAAGUUAUUUUAUAUUAACAGAAUUUGAUUCAAUGGCAGUAAUAAAUUUAAUGAAUGGAUUAAACUGAAUGAAUCUUUCCCUGCGUAUGUUAAUAAGAAUGUCCUUUUAAAAUUCAUUUUGUAAAAUGUGCAGCUUGAAAUUAGGAACUGGCAAGAACUUUGGCCUCAGACAUGAUGCAAAAAUGCUGAUCCUCCUGGGAGAUGUUGAUGUUACAUUUUCUGCUGCUGCUUCCUUUUUUCCUGUAAUGUGACAGACCCCUUUUGUUCUGAACUUAAAGUCCUUUCCAGCUUCCAAAAGAAACUUAAUGGUGUUGAUUUGUUUGGCUUCUCAGGCCCUUUUUAGGAAAACAAAAUAUUUGGACUCAGGCAACAGAUAAGCAGUAACCCCGUGUUUUUAAAACACUGCAUGCUCAGGAUUGGGUAACAGGGUAAUUCCAAGACCUUUGGUAGGAUGGAGCUUUGUUUAAAUAGCAUCUGCUAAUAUUUUCAUGAAGCUACUUGUAAGGACAGUUGUGCUUGUCUUAAGUUAUGAAUUUUUUUCAUUGCUGUCCGUUGUGGGGUGAUAUAUCACAGUUUUCUGCACUGUAUCAGGGUAGGUACUGAUGUUUUCAGAGCUGAACGGAACUGCCUUGUAGUGAGCAGAAGAGUAAGGGAAAGUCAGGCUGUGGAGCUUGUCUCCUUGCCAGUUUUUUUUUGUUUAUUUUUCCUUAUGAUUAAAUGCCUGUAAAAAUAAGCUGGUGAUUGAAUCCAGUCCUUAAUGUGAAGGGACAAAAUGGAACUGGGAGUAGUAAAUGUCACGCCUGAAUCCCUUAGUCAUUAAAAAUCAAAGCUUUUGGUGGUGUCUCUUGCCGAACCUUCUGUCUUCACUGGAGGCCUGCAUCUUUGAGAUAAGGCUCUAGUGAGUAACUUACUUGGAAGGUCAGUGCAAAAUCUUUGGUUUCCAUGGAAGAAAGCAAAAUGUUCAGCUGCAUGGGAAAGGACAGUCAAUACACGGGAAUAAAGUGCUAAUUUUAGCACUUAGGCUGAAGCAGUACUGCUCUUCUGCCACGGGCUUGAACUGUCCCAGCGGGACACACCGGCUUCAUUGUGGAACCUGACAUCCAGAAAUGUCCCUUUGAAAACAGCUCAUUCCUAGGGCUUGGCCUGUAGCAUGAUCUGUUGCUACUCUUCUCGUCUCAAGCCCUUCUUUCCAUACUCAUUGGCAUAGGUGAGUAUAAGUUCACCUCAUCCAACUCCAGAUGUUUGCAAUCUAUUUGAGGGUUAUCCACCCCAGCAUCUCUGCAGUGAGUCCAGUGAAGAGAAUAAACACUUCAUGUACCUAUUAUAGAAUGACAGAAGAAAUACCCUGGAAAUACCAAUUUUGCCUAUAAAAGACAUCUACUUCAUCAGCUCAGAUUUGCUAUGAUCAGUCCUACUUUUGUGUCAGUCUCCUGACCAGGACUUCAUUAAAAUGGCAGUAAAUUCAAAGGAACAAUUUGAGUUUGAUUUUUUUUCAUCCGGCUGUGUGUUUCAGCAGUAUGUUGUGUAACUAACACACAUUUCACAUGUGAUUGUUCCUAGAGCUAGAUUAUCUGAGGUGUAUGGAAGUGAUAAUGGCCCACUACACGAAAUCUGCCAGAAUGGUUUCUGUACUUCCUAGGAAAGGCCUUACCAUUUCCACUUCAGGAACUGUCUUUAGAUGCCUUAUAGUGUGGGAGAAGACCAUGCUUUCCCUCAAAGCUGGCAUGCACUGUGACUCUAUUUUAUUCUUUGCUGUAACUGAGGAUGUACUUUUAAGUGAAUCAGAUGAUCUGUACAGAUGCUAGCAGUGACAUUUGCGUGACUGUUAAAGACCUUAUUACAGAUCUGUGAGAUCUCAUUUGUUUUGGCUGCCACUUGUUGAACAACCCACAUCCUGUCGUCACCUGUCACAGUGUCUGUGCUUUUGGCCACAGCAUGGAUAGUGCUGCCAACGUGUUUUUCCCGUGAAGGAAAUUUUCUCAUACAUACUCUGGUUUUAUCUGACACUACGUCCCCAGAAACAUUGGGACAUCUGGCCAAAAAGGAGUUAACACAUUGGAAAGACAUCACUGCAGACUUGUGGUGGGUUUUUUAGAGGGGGGGGAUUAUGUGUUUAUUUUUUUUCCUCUAAUCUUUGCUAUUGCACAAAACUCUCUUCUUGAUUUAGAAACUUUAAGCUACUUCUCUGGCUUACAGAUAAUAAAACAAACUCUUCCUGUAGAGUGGCAAAAAUAAAUAAAGUGUGUCCCUUGCUUUUGCAGUAUGUACAGAACAGUCACUUUUCUUCAAGAAGAUAUCAACAAAUACCAACAGUCUGUCCAGGAUUAAUACUAUUAAUCCAUUUUACCUUGACAGGGUCAAGUUGUGCUCUGUCCCUUGGAUGUAGGCCUGAUGCUCUGAAUCUUCUCCAUGCUGCUCCAGGGAGCAUUUUAAGAAAGCAUUUUAAGAAAGCAAAAAAACCUGACUGGCUUAAAAGCACUAUUUCAUCAUUGUGUGUUUUAGAAGAUCAACCGCUUAUGUGAAGAACUUGUACAUCAUUAAACAGCCAUUGAUGCUAGCAAGAAAAUUGCCAAAUGUUAAACUCGUGUGCUAAAUGUGAUUAAAUCUCCUUGAUCCAUUGUGGAAGUCUAGCUGAGACUGCUGCUGACGAUACUUUUACUCAUUCAUAUGGAAGCAGAUCUUUCAUAUAUAUGUGUGGGUGUUUUCAUUAAAUUGAGAUACUGAAGGAAUACAAGAGGGACACAGUCGGAAAUUUUCCAGGCUUAGACGCGACCUUUUCUCUUUGCAGCAAUUAUGCAUGAGACUUGAGAGUGCACAUCUAUUCUUGCUGUCACCCCUUUUCUUACCAUGUUAGAUUCCAGGACCUACUCUAAAGAAGAUGCAAUGGUAAUUUUAACUCUGGGUUCUGGUGACCAACGAGUCAGGGCUGAAAUUUUACUCCUUGUAGCAGAAUUCUGGCUAUGCCUCAAGUCUACAGGUGAACUAUCAUGGCAGUCCCUAAGUUUCUGAAACC
ensembl:lncRNA